ACGAACGCUGGCGGCGUGCUUAACACAUGCAAGUCGAACGGAAAGGCCCUGCUUGCAGGGUGCUCGAGUGGCGAACGGGUGAGUAACACGUGGGUGAUCUGCCCCUUACUUUGGGAUAAGCCUGGGAAACUGGGUCUAAUACUGGAUAGGACCAUGCUGUAGGUGGUGUGGUGGAAAGAUUAGUUUCGGUAAGGGAUGAGCUCGCGGCCUAUCAGCUUGUUGGUGGGGUAAUGGCCUACCAAGGCGUCGACGGGUAGCCGGCCUGAGAGGGUGGACGGCCACAUUGGGACUGAGAUACGGCCCAGACUCCUACGGGAGGCAGCAGUGGGGAAUAUUGCACAAUGGGCGCAAGCCUGAUGCAGCGACGCCGCGUGGGGGAUGACGGCCUUCGGGUUGUAAACUCCUUUCAGCCAUGACGAAGCCCUUGUGGUGACGGUAGUGGUAGAAGAAGCACCGGCCAACUACGUG
rnacentral:rRNA from 1 species